rnacentral:rRNA from 1 species
UUAACGAGGAUCUAUUGGAGGGCAAGUCUGGUGCCAGCAGCCSCGRURAUUCCAGCUCCAAUAGCGUAUAUUAAAGUUGUUGCGGUUAAAAAGCUCGUAGUUGGAUCUCAGCUCACGYUAGGUGGUCCACCUAAUGGUGGUUACUACUUAGYUGAGCAUUGGACRGAUUCGUCUUCBGAKGCUCUUCMCCGAGWGUCAGAAGUGGUCUGUACGUUUACUUUGAAAAAAUUAGAGUGCYUAAAGCAGGCAUCUCGCCCGAAUAAUCUWGCAUGGAAUAAUGGAAUAGGACUUCGGUUCUAUUUUGUUGGUCUCCGGAAUCUGAAGUAAUGA